GGUGCUACCGGGUGACCGGAUGCCGAUCUCGAAAACCUGUCCCAGUUCGGACUGGAGUCUGCAACCCGACUCCACGAAGUUGGAUUCGCUAGUAAUCGCGCAUCAGCCAUGGCGCGGUGAAUACGUUCCCGGGCCUUGUACACACCGCCCGUCAAGCCAUGGGAGCCGGGGGCGCCUGAAGUCCGGGACCGCGAGGACCGGCCUAAGGCGAAACUGGUGACUGGGGCUAAGUCGUAACAAGGUAAC
rnacentral:rRNA from 1 species